rnacentral:tRNA from 1 species
ACGGCCCUGGCGGAACCAGGUAGACGCACGGCGUUGAGAACGUCGUUUUUGAGGGUUCGAAUCCCUCGGGCCGUACCA